rnacentral:lncRNA from 1 species
ACGGGUUCUAGAACAUGCCGUUGUCGUCAUCGUCUUUGUCUUCUUUGGCCUUGCCCUUAUCCUUUGCUUCAGAAGGUUCUGACAGAUCUUUCAUGACUCUGCAAAGGCUAUAGCAAUCCAUCAUGGAGUGCUUAAAGUGUGGGUGCCAUGGGCAUUGCUUUUUCAAGAGCUCCUUGAAUGGAGUCCAUUCUAAAAUCCUGCCCCCUUUCUUAGAAGGCUGGGACAUCGCUGCGAUAGUAUUUUCUAGCUUUCUCUUGCAAUGUUGACCACCAGAGUAGUUGCCUCAGUUGUCAUUGUUGGGACGAUCGUUGCAGUUCUUGUCGUUACGUUGACCGUUACUCUGAUUGUUGUUGUUUUGGCCUCUGUUACAACUAGACUCAAACUGCUCAAUCUCUUUGUCUUCUUCAUCCACCCAUGCUUGUAUCAUAAUAUUGAGAGACUUGAUAUCUUCC